AAUACAUGCAAGUCGAACGAACUCUGGUAUUGAUUGGUGCUUGCGUCAUGAUUUACAUUUGAGUGAGUGGCGAACUGGUGAGUAACACGUGGGAAACCUGCCCAGAAGCGGGGGAUAACACCUGGAAACAGAUGCUAAUACCGCAUAACAACUUGGACCGCAUGGUCCGAGCUUGAAAGAUGGCUUCGGCUAUCACUUUUGGAUGGUCCCGCGGCGUAUUAGCUAGAUGGUGGGAUAACGGCUCACCAUGGCAAUGAUACGUAGCCGACCUGAGAGGGUAAUCGGCCACAUUGGGACUGAGACACGGCCCAAACUCCUACGGGAGGCAGCAGUAGGGAAUCUUCCACAAUGGACGAAAGUCUGAUGGAGCAACGCCGCGUGAGUGAAGAAGGGUUUCGGCUCGUAAAACUCUGUUGUUAAAGAAGAACAUAUCUGAGAGUAACUGUUCAGGUAUUGACGGUAUUUAACCAGAAAGCCACGGCUAACUACGUGCCAACAGCCGCGGUAAUACGUAGGUGGCAAGCGUUGUCCGGAUUUAUUGGGCGUAAAGCGAGCGCAGGCGGUUUUUUAAGGCUGAUGUGAAAGCCUUCGGUUCAACCGAGGAAGUGCAUCGGAAACUGGGGAACUUGAGUGCAGAAGAGGACAGUGGAACUCCAUGUGUAGCGGUGAAAUGCGUAGCGGUGAAAUGCGUAGAUAUAUGGAAGGACACCAGUGGCGAAGGCGGCUGUCUGGUCUGUAACUGGCGCUGAGGCUCGAAAGUAUGGGUAGCAAACAGGAUUAGAUACCCUGGUAGUCCAUACCGUAACGAGAAUGCUAAGUGUUGGAGGUUUUCCGCCCUUCAGUGCUGCAGCUAACGCAUUAAGCAUUCCGCCUGGGGAGUACGGCCGCAAGGCUGAAACUCAAAGGAAUUGACGGGGGCCCGCACAAGCGGUGGAGCAUGUGGUUUAAUUUGAAGCUACGCGAAGAACCUUACCAGGUCUUGACAUACUAUGCAAAUUUAAGAGAUUAGACGUUUCCUUCGGGGACAUGGAUACAGGUGGUGCAUGGUUGUCGUCAGCUCGUGUCGUGAGAUGUUGGGUUAAGUCCCGCCACGAGCGCCACCCUUAUUAUCAGUUGCCAGCAUUAAGUUGGGCACUCUGGUGAGACUGCCGGUGACAAACCGGAGGAAGGUGGGGAUGACGUCAAAUCAUCAUGCCCCUUAUGACCUGGGCUACACACGUGCUACAAUGGAUGGUACAACGAGUUGCGAACUCGCGAGAGUAAGCUAAUCUCUUAAAGCCAUUCUCAGUUCGGAUUGUAGGCUGCAACUCGCCUACAUGAAGUUGGAAUCGCUAGUAAUCGCGGAUCAGCAUGCCGCGGGGAAUACGUUCCCGGGCCUUGUACACCCCGCCCGUCACCCCAUGAGAGUUUGUAACACCCAAAGUCGGUGGGGUAACCUUUUAGGAACCAGCCGCCUAAGGUGGGACAGAUGAUUAGGGUGAAGUCGUAACAA
rnacentral:rRNA from 2 species